AGCGAACGCUGGCGGCAGGCUUAACACAUGCAAGUCGAGCGGGCACCUUCGGGUGUCAGCGGCAGACGGGUGAGUAACACGUGGGAACGUACCCUUUGGUUCGGAACAACUCUAGGGAAACUGGAGCUAAUACCGGAUACGCCCUUAGUGGGGAAAGGUUUACCGCCGAAGGAUCGGCCCGCGUCUGAUUAGCUAGUUGGUGAGGUAACGGCUCACCAAGGCGACGAUCAGUAGCUGGUCUGAGAGGAUGAUCAGCCACACU
rnacentral:rRNA from 1 species